CCUACGGGGGGCAGCAGUGAGGAAUAUUGGUCAAUGGGCGUAAGCCUGAACCAGCCAAGUCGCGUGAGGGAUGAAGGAUCUAUGGUUUGUAAACCUCUUUUAUAAGGGAAUAAAGUGCGGGAUGCGUACCGUUUUGUAUGUACCUUAUGAAUAAGGAUCGGCUAACUCCGUGCCAGCAGCCGCGGUAAUACGGAGGAUCCGAGCGUUAUCCGGAUUUAUUGGGUUUAAAGGGGGCGUAGGUGGCGUGUUAAGUCAGCGGUGAAAGUUUGUGGCUCAACCAUAAAAUUGCAGUUGAAACUGGGAGUCUUGAGUACGGUAGAGGCAGGCGGAAUGCGUGGUGUAGCGGUGAAAUGCUUAGAUAUCAGGAGGAACACCGGUGGCGAAGGC
rnacentral:rRNA from 1 species